UCGGUUUCCCCUGUUUUAGAUAUAAAAAACAGAGCAUUUCAGCCACCAUCCAAGCCGCUGCAGUCACGCUCCAUCGGGAGCUACACCGUGUCGUGCCCCCACAGAAACCGCCGGCGAGGACAUUCCUUCACCCCGGUCCGCCGCACACUGCCUCAUCCCACGCUAGUGACCAGGCGCCACCCUCGUCCGCCGUAGCCAGCCUCAGCUCCACGCCGUCGUGCUCCCCCACCUCUCCGUGACGAUUAAUUUUUGUUCGGCAUUGUUGAGGAAAUUUUCGA